ACAGAAUCUGACUUAGUUUUCAUCUUGAUAAACGAUGGUGGUGCAUACAGUGUGUGCUUGCUGGUCUGUGGUCAGAUGUGUAUCAGGGCCCCUCCCAGCUUUGAAGCUCAGAUCCCAGUCCUGGAUUCUCAAGUAUGGCCACACUGUAGCUUGAUGUAAACACUAGGUUUAGCUUACUGGGUGCCAGGGGCCUGCUGGGUUCAGGGAGGACCUAAAAGAAAUGUAGAGUGAGCUGCUGUGAGCACAUGGGGUGGGUGUGGCGAGUGCAUGUGGGCGGCGGCACUUGGGACCACAGCAUGGUUUGGGUGUCCCUGCCAUUCAUGGCAGGUGUGCUGUGGAAAGGAUGACAUCCUGACUGUUGUCAACAGACCCUCAGAGUGAUCAUUUCCAACCUCUUGAUCUGCCCUUUCAGACAUUACUACCUGUGUAGUAAAUUUUAUACUGAAAUUGUUCCCUUAAUUUUUAGGGUACGUUUGGUAGAACGCGGUUCUCCACACAGCCUGCCAUUGAUGGAGUCUGGAAAGAUCCUCCCCGGCGUGAAGGUCAUCAUCGCACACACUGAGACCAAAGGACCCUUGGGAGACUCACACCUGGGAGAGAUCUGGGUAAGCAGCCCCCACAAUGCCACCGGGUACUACACAGUUUACGGGGAGGAGGCACUUCAUGCUGACCACUUCAGUGCCCGGCUGAGUUUUGGAGACACACAGACCAUCUGGGCAAGGACCGGCUACCUUGGCUUCCUUCGGCGAACAGAGCUCACUGAUGCCACUGGAGGGCGGCACGAUGCACUAUAUGUGGUUGGGUCUCUGGAUGAAACUCUGGAGCUCAGAGGCAUGCGGUACCACCCCAUCGACAUUGAGACCUCUGUCAUCCGAGCACACAGGAGCAUCGCUGAGUGUGCCGUAUUCACCUGGACCAACCUGCUGGUGGUGGUGGUGGAGCUGGAUGGGCUAGAGCAGGAUGCCCUGGACCUGGUGGCCCUGGUGACCAACGUGGUGCUGGAGGAGCACUACCUGGUCGUGGGAGUGGUGGUCAUUGUGGACCCAGGGGUGAUCCCUAUCAACUCUCGGGGUGAGAAGCAGCGCAUGCACCUGCGGGACGGCUUCCUGGCUGACCAGCUGGACCCCAUCUAUGUGGCCUACAACAUGUGAGCAUAGCACACCAGCCCAGGUGCCGGAGAUGAACAAGCCCCAGCAGUCCAAGGUGUGAUGUGGGAAGACACUGCAGAGCCCACUCACCGGGACUCGCCCCUUCCUGUGCUCUUACAGAUCCCUCUCAACAAUUCCCCGCAUCUCCUUUUAGAAAGCACUUCCUGAAUUAUUUAAAGAUAUAUUUUGAAUCUGCCAAGUACAUUUACAAAAACACGGAUGCUGGUAUUUUAACAGAUGGAGAGACAAGGAAAGGAAAGGAAAGGCCUGGCGUGGGCAUUGUGAGGAAUCACAGGCACCGAGGGUUGUUCUCUGCUGUACUGCAAGUUUGCACUUUCUUUAGGCUAAAAAUAUAGUUCCUGAUUUUUAAAAUUCAGUUAUUUAUUCCCACUUCAAAUGACAAGUUCAUAUAUAGAAUUUACGGGAGAAACUUGAUUCUGGGAAGAUAGCAGAGUACAAACCAGCUGCCUCACUUCUGUUUCACAGGGAGGCUGAUGGAAAAAGGAAGCAAGCUGGACCCAUCCUCCCUGCUCACAGAGGGCACUGUGGUCACACACAGUGCCUCCUCUGCCAGUUUCUUUAUUGAAAGAGGUGUGCUGGCUAGCCACGGUGGCUCACACCUGUAAUCCCAGCACUUUGGGAGGCCGAGGCGGGCAGAUCACAAGGUCAGGAGAUCGAGACCAUCCUGGCUAACAUGGUGAAACCCCGUCUCUACUAAAGAUACAAAAAAUUAGCCGGGUGUGGUGGUGGGCGCCUGUAGUCCCAGCUACUCGGGAGGCUGAGGCAGGAGAAUGGUGUGAACCCGGGAGGCGGAGCUUGCAGUGAGCCAAGAUCACGCCACUGCACUCUAGCCUGGGUGACAGCGCGAGAUGCCGUCUUAAAAAAAAAAAAAGAGGUGUGCUGCUUGUCAGCAUAUAUUGUCACGGACACUCAAUAAGUGCCAUUUUGGACUGUCAAGUUUAGAUACUUUGUUUCAGAAAGAUAAGCCAGCAUUUAGUUUUAAAUCACUUUCCUGGUUUGUAACUUGAGGCUGUUUAGUUAAAUUGCUAGUUUUCCUAACACUACAAUAUUAAUUCUUCUCGUGGAAGUGUACUGAUUUAUUAUUUUUAUUCCAAGUCAGCAGAUUUGGAAGCAUUGUGGUAAAGUCUAAGGUUUUCAUAUCCAUAGUGCUGUUUGGUGAGUACCGGCAGUACGGUUGAGGGGAGCAGGGAACAGCAUUGCCCCAUAUUGAAGGUGAGAUGGUUACAUUCUUCACUGCCUUUCACAUUUUGAGUUGUGUGCCUAUAAAAUUUGGCCAAACCAUUUUAUUAUUUUGUUCAAACUUGACUAAGCUGAGUGAUCUAAAAUUAUACAGAACCUAAAUCAAAGAAGAGAAUGUAAAGUCCUUUAGUUACUUCUAAGAAUUUGAAGUCAAGCACGAAUCUAAGAUACAGAUUAUUUUUAUAUAGCUAAUUAAGAGUAUGUUAUGAAAUUGUUGGGUUUUUGGGGUAUUGAGGGUGGAAAAUUUUGUGAAUCAUGCAUGCUUCACAGAAACAACCAGGUUUUUCCAGAAUUAGUCUGGAUCAGUGCCUAACAAAGCUGUUAUUAAUUCUCCACACAUGAGCCUGGCUAACUGGGCCAGCUCUCGUGUUUUACUCCUGUCUGGCUACACAUAGCACUGUGCAUAGUAGCCCUGUUUCCCCACGGUGUUGGACUGUGGUAAAGUAUGUUGUGACAUACUGGAAUUCUAAUAAUCCUGUUGUAAUUAUGUACAGAAUCUAUGUAACUUAUUGUUGACAUACAGAGGUUUGGGAAGUAGUCUAACGGACAUUCCUUACAAUAGAAUGGCUGGGAAGGGAAAGAAAAAAAAAACUACCUAACUCCAAUCUUAAUGUUGUAGUUUUAUAGCAAACAAAAAUUGUCAACUUUUUGUAUUGAAAGGUCAGUGGUGGUAAGACAAGGUGUCUUGUAAAUUAAGAUUUUAAGAAGUGCAUUAAAAUGUUUUAGAAUUACUCUGGGAAUUCUGUAUAUCACACUAAAAUUUUUAUAUCAUUAUGUUAAUAAAAGUUAUUGACUUUGUAA
rnacentral:sRNA from 1 species